rnacentral:rRNA from 1 species
GUCUUGGAAUAAGGGGUGGGUAAGGACGGUGCCAGCCGCCGCGGUAAUACCGGCGCCUCAAGUGGUAGUCGCUUUUAUUGGGCCUAAAACGUCCGUAGCCGGUCUGGUGCAUUCGUGGGUAAAUCAACCCGCUCAACGGGUUGAAUUCUGCGAGCACGGCCAGACUUGGGACCGGGAGAGGUGUGGGGUACUCUCAGGGUAGGGGUAAAAUCCUGUCAUCCUGAGAGGACCACCUGUUGCGAAGGCGCCACACUAGAACGGAUUCGACGGUCAGGGACGAAACCUAGGGGCACGAACCGGAUUAGAUACCCGGGUAGUCCUAGGUGUAAACGCUGUGGACUUGAUGUUGGGGGUGCUCCGAGCACUCUCAGUGUCGAAGCGAAGGUGAUAAGUCCACUGCCUGGGGAGUACGGUCGCAAGGCUGAAACUUAAAGGAAUUGGCGGGGGAGCACUGCAACCUGAGGAUUGUGCGGUUUAAUUGGACUCAACGCCGGGA